rnacentral:rRNA from 1 species
CGGGGACCCGCACAAGCGGUGGAGCAUGUGGUUUAAUUCGAAGCAACGCGAAGAACCUUACCAAAUCUUGACAUCCUUUGACCGCUCUAGAGAUAGAGUUUUCCCCUUCGGGGGACAAAGUGACAGGUGGUGCAUGGUUGUCGUCAGCUCGUGUCGUGAGAUGUUGGGUUAAGUCCCGCAACGAGCGCAACCCUUAAGCUUAGUUGCCAUCAUUAAGUUGGGCACUCUAAGUUGACUGCCGGUGACAAACCGGAGGAAGGUGGGGAUGACGUCAAAUCAUCAUGCCCCUUAUGAUUUGGGCUACACACGUGCUACAAUGGACAAUACAAAGGGCAGCUAAACCGCGAGGUCAAGCAAAUCCCAUAAAGUUGUUCUCAGUUCGGAUUGUAGUCUGCAACUCGACUACAUGAAGCUGGAAUCGCUAGUAAUCGUAGAUCAGCAUGCUACGGUGAAUACGUUCCCGGGUCUUGUACACACCGCCCGUCACACCACGAGAGUUUGUAACACCCGAAGCCGGUGGAGUAACCAUUUAUGGAGCUAGCCGUCGAAGGUGGGACAAA